rnacentral:lncRNA from 1 species
AAGAGCUCUUAGGACCUGGCAAAGUAGCUCCGUGGUAGAGGGUCAUAGGAUACUAACCACGUUUUCCUGAUAUGCUGCAGAUGCUGAAUCACUUGGAGGAUGCUCACGAAAGUGUUAAGUAUGAAAACAGCUAUUAUCAGAUCCCAGCCAAUGUAGGACUCCUACUGGAGGCUGACAGCCAAGUCUUAAUCAAUUUAAAGCAUCUUAAAUAUCUGCACGAUGACAUUUCAGGGAACUCUCAAAACCAGAAAACAACUGCGGCAUGGAGCUGGGAUACCCUGGUAACAAAGCAGUUCCCAGCCUUGAGAAGACAACUGGAUUCCAACACACAGGACCAGAAGUUCAAGAACCGAAAAUAAAUCACACCAGCACCAGUCUGCUUAAUUGUGAGGACUUAACAUCUAACUUUCCACAGUGAGGGCCAGGAUUAAGCUCAGUGGUUCCGUCACCUGCCUCACAAGCAAAAGGUCCCGAGUUUGAUCCCCGGAACCAAACAAUAAGAAUAAUAAAUCCA